rnacentral:rRNA from 1 species
UACGUAGGGGCAAGCGUUGUCCGGAAUCAUUGGGCGUAAAGCGCGUGUAGGCGGCUCGGUAAGUCAGCUGUGAAAGUCCAGGGCUCAACCCUGGAAAGCCGGUUGAUACUGUCGAGCUCGAGUCCGGAAGAGGUGAGUGGAAUUCCUGGUGUAGCGGUGAAAUGCGCAGAUAUCAGGAGGAACACCAAUGGCGAAGGCAGCUCACUGGGACGGUACUGACGCUGAGACGCGAAAGCGUGGGGAGCAAACAGG